CCCUCUGUCGACUCCCUUUCUCUCCCUCCGACCAAACCCUAAGUCCCCGUGGGACCUCUCGGCAUCGACGGCAGAUGAUCAGUUCCACUUCAGUCAAGAUCAGUAGGCCAUUCUGGCGGCGAAGCUUCGGCAACACCAGAUCAGCGGCGGCGGAGGGAGUUGUCCGGUGGCAGUAGUGGCCAAGUUGUCAUUGCUUCAACAACAGUUGCUGUUUCAGCCCAGAGGUGUUGCCGUGGGGGUUUUCAGUGAUUCGAAUCAGAGUGUUUGCACCAAACGGAGCAAGUACUACGAUUAUUGCUCUCAUCAUCAUUUAUGGAGUUCAAAUCAACACCAAUAACAAUAACUCUGUAAAAGGCGAGAGGCAUUGUUUGCUUGAAGGUUUCAUUUCAUGCUCUCAAGUUUACGACAUCAAUAUUAGACUCGGUAACAAGUUUACAUAGAGGAUGGAGGUCGACGAAGGACCUUAGCUUUCUCUUCAUUUUGAAGUGGGGGAGGGCAAAUUGUUGUAUGGAGGUAAAAAGUUUACGAAUAUACUAAGGUGAUACCAGCGGCUUACCUGGAGUGUUUUGCAAAAUCAAAUGUGCAAAACUCUAAUCCCUUAUCCAGCUACGUACUUGGGCAUAAUUUAAGCCUUGAUCUUCUCUUUCCUGCUAUAUUCUCUAGCAAAAUCAAAGGUGCGAGGUGUCGUUUUUUAAUCCUGGAAUCAUACAGCUGGAUAAGGGAGCACAUGUAGCUUUGUGGGCUGAAAGGAUAAAAAGAUCAUGCAGCGAUGAUCAGUUAAAGUAAAGUAUGUCAAUUGUGAACUUUAGUAUAAGGGUAUUUGGCUUCAUGUAUGACCUUUAAGUUGUAUGAACGAUAAUACAUCUAUCGCAUAUGCAGUUGCCUAUCAUCGAAAUAAAUUUGGUUGUGCUUUGGAGCAUUGUGCAUGGUAUUGCUUAUCGGGUCAAGUUUUGAAUUGAUGGGUUUUAAGUUGAAUGCACGAUUAUACAUCUUUUGUCACCUAUAAAAAAAAUACAUCUUUUCUUUAUUUUUGUUAGGCUUACUCUAGCUCUGAAUAAAACACUUUAAGAUUGGUUAUUUGGAAUAGAGCGGCUUUGGUGAAGAAGUUCAAAUUUUUUGAAAGCUUGGUGUUUACAAGAGGACGACUUGGGUGAAGUCUCCUAUAUUUGCUGACGUCACGAUCUAGCUCACAACAUGGCUUUACUCUCUCUUUUUUUGGUACUCUAUAAGUGGGCAACCCUUUAAAUUGCAUUUUGCUUAGCUUAAAGAAAACUUUGAUGGAGUUAAAUUGGAUUC